UACGUAGGGGGCAAGCGUUGUCCGGAAUCAUUGGGCGUAAAGCGCACGUAGGCGGCCCUGUAAGUCCGUUGUGAAAGUCAAAGGCUCAACCUUUGAAUGCCGAUGGAUACUGCAGGGCUAGAGUCCGGAAGAGGCGAGUGGAAUUCCCGGUGUAGCAGUGAAAUGCGUAGAUAUCGGGAGGAACAUCUGUGGCGAAGGCGACACCCUGGACCAGCACUGACACUGAGGCACGAAAGCGUGGGGAGCAAACAGG
rnacentral:rRNA from 1 species